GUGGGGAAUCUUGCGCAAUGGGCGAAAGCCUGACGCAGCCAUGCCGCGUGAAUGAUGAAGGUCUUAGGAUUGUAAAAUUCUUUCACCGGGGACGAUAAUGACGGUACCCGGAGAAGAAGCUCCGGCUAACUUCGUGCCAGCAGCCGCGGUAAUACGAAGGGGGCUAGCGUUGCUCGGAAUUACUGGGCGUAAAGGGCGCGUAGGCGGACAGCUUAGUCAGAGGUGAAAGCCCAGGGCUCAACCUUGGAAUUGCCUUUGAUACUGGCUGUCUUGAGUUUGGGAGAGGUGAGUGGAACUCCGAGUGUAGAGGUGAAAUUCGUAGAUAUUCGGAAGAACACCAGUGGCGAAGGCGACUCACUGGCCCAAUACUGACGCUGAGGCGCGAAAGCGUGGGGAGCAAACAGGAUUAGAAACCCCAGUACC
rnacentral:rRNA from 1 species